rnacentral:rRNA from 1 species
AUGAGAGAGUAUCCAUAUAAUGAUGAUCCACCGAAACAUCGUCGGCGUUUCCAGUACAGUUGGUUCAAGGAUUUUGAAUGGCUCGAGUUUUCACCUUACACAAAGCGUGCGUAUUGCUUCCAUUGUUUCCUCUUCUCAAGAAAGCCGAUUGGGAAGUGCGGCUCAGAAACAUUUACUGUUUUGGGCUUUGAUAGGUGGAAGAAGGUGAAUAAUGGGAAAGAGUGUGCUUUUUUAACUCAUAUGGGUAAAGAUGAUGGUUCAGCCCAUAACUUCUUAGUUCAUUGUUAUGAUAAUUUCAAAAACGGCAUGACUCAUAUUGAUAAGGUGUAUGGGAAAGCAACCACAAAAACAAUUUUAGAUGCAAGGCUAAGGCUCAAAGUUACAAUUGAUUCCAUCCGGUGGUUAACAUUCCAGGCUUGUGCUUUUGGAGGGCAUGAUGAAUCUCUGGGAUCCAUUAUCGUGAAAGAGCAAAUGGCGUUGGUCCUCCGGUUUCCUGACACUGAAGGGUUCAUACAAGAGCGUUUUGUUGAUGUUAUUCAUGUGAAUGACACUCUUGCAUUGACUCUCAAGGAGACAAUUUGCGCUGUUCUAGCAGAUAACAAUUUAAAUGUGGAAGAUAUCAAAGGUCAGGCCUAUGACGGGGCCAGUAAUAUGCGAGGGGAGUGGAACAGAUUGAAGGCUUUAAUUCUGAAGGCGUGCCCUUAUGCACAUUACAUUCAUUGUAUGGCGCAUCAGCUUCAAUUGGCCCUUGUUGCAGCAUCACGAGAGAUACAUGAAGUGCAUGAUUUUUUUCAACAUGCCAAUUUUGUCAUAAAUGUUGUUAGUGCUUCACCUAAAUGCAAUGAUGAGUUACUAGCAAAUCAGGCCGCCGAAAUUGCACGUGAAAUUGAACUGGGGGAUCUUGAUACGGGAAAAGGGGCAAACCAGAGAGGUUCUUUAUAG